rnacentral:rRNA from 1 species
UACGUAGGGGGCGAGCGUUGUCCGGAAUCAUUGGGCGUAAAGAGCUCGUAGGCGGCUGUUCAAGUCGAACGUGAAAACUCGGAGCUCAACUCCGAGCCUGCGUUCGAUACUGGACGGCUAGAGUCUGGUAGGGGGAUCUGGAAUUCCUGGUGUAGCAGUGAAAUGCGUAGAUAUCGGGAGGAACAUCCGUGGCGAAGGCGGUUGUCUGGCCAAAUACUGACGCUAAGGCGCGAAAAGCAUGGGGGAUCAAACAGG